GUGAGACAGUUCGGUCCCUAUCUGCCAUGCGUGUAGGAUACUUGAGAGGAUCUGUCCUUAGUACGAGAGGACCGGGAUGGACAUACCUCUGGUGUACCUGUUGUCACGCCAGUGGCAUAGCAGGGUAGCUAAGUAUGGAAAGGAUAAGCGCUGAAAGCAUCUAAGCGCGAAACCAGCCUCAAAACUAGGUAUCCCUUGAGAGUAGUGGAAGACUACCACUUUGAUAGGCCAGNUGUGGAAGCACAGUAAUGUGUGAAGCUAACUGGUACUAAUAACUCGAUCGGCUUGAAA
rnacentral:rRNA from 1 species